GAUUAACGCUGGCGGCGUGCCUAAUACAUGCAAGUUGAGCGAACGGACGAGAAGCUUGCUUCUCUGAUGUUAGCGGCGGACGGGUGAGUAACACGUGGAUAACCUACCUAUAAGACUGGGAUAACUUCGGGGAACCGGAGCUAAUACCGGAUAAUAUUUUGAACCGCAUGGUUCAAAAGUGAAAGACGGUCUUGCUGUCACUUAUAGAUGGAUCCGCGCUGCAUUAGCUAGUUGGUAAGGUAACGGCUUACCAAGGCAACGAUGCAUAGCCGACCUGAGAGGGUGAUCGGCCACACUGGAACUGAGACACGGUCCAGACUCCUACGGGAGGCAGCAGUAGGGAAUCUUCCGCAAUGGGCGAAAGCCUGACGGAGCAACGCCGCGUGAGUGAUGAAGGUCUUCGGAUCGUAAAACUCUGUUGUUAGGGAAGAACAUAUGUGUAAGUAACUGUGCACAUCUUGACGGUACCUAAUCAGAAAGCCACGGCUAACUACGUG
rnacentral:rRNA from 1 species